rnacentral:rRNA from 1 species
CCAAACCCAAUGUGAACGUUACCAAACUGUUGCCUCGGCGGGAUCUCUGCCCCGGGUGCGUCGCAGCCCCGGACCAAGGCGCCCGCCGGAGGACCAACCUAAAACUCUUAUUGUAUACCCCCUCGCGGGUUUUUUUUAUAAUCUGAGCCUUCUCGGCGCCUCUCGUAGGCGUUUCGAAAAUGAAUCAAAACUUUCAACAACGGAUCUCUUGGUUCUGGCAUCGAUGAAGAACGCAGCGAAAUGCGAUAAGUAAUGUGAAUUGCAGAAUUCAGUGAAUCAUCGAAUCUUUGAACGCACAUUGCGCCCGCCAGUAUUCUGGCGGGCAUGCCUGUCCGAGCGUCAUUUCAACCCUCGAACCCCUCCGGGGGGUCGGCGUUGGGGAUCGGCCCUCCCUUAGCGGGUGGCCGUCUCCGAAAUACAGUGGCGGUCUCGCCGCAGCCUCUCCUGCGCAGUAGUUUGCACACUCGCAUCGGGAGCGCGGCGCGUCCACAGCCGUUAAACACCCAACUUCUGAAAUGUUGACCUCGGAUCAGGUAGGAAUACCCGCUGAACUUAAGCAUAUCA